UUACACACACACCACUCAGAUGACCUUAAUGAUGAUAUUUGGGCAGUAUUUGCUCAUCUUUGACCUUUACCACUGACCUCUCCUCUAUCCCCAGGUUCAGAGACGUGUGUUCCAGGUGAGUGCUCUGUAGAUAAGUGUCUACUGGCGCUGAUACUGAGGUCCCCAUCCAUGUCUGGUUGUCCUGUGGAGAGCCCUACCUCCCCUUAGAUGACUCUACCAGCUGAGAUGGAGACCGUACAAGAGAAAGGCCACUGGUAACUUCCAGGAACUGUACCAUCAGCCUGUUGUCAAGAGUUAAUACCCAAUGGAGACAGGCAUAUAUCUAUCCACGUCUGGGGGAAAAGCAUGGAAGAGAUACUUCCUCCAAAUUGACAAAAAAGAUUGAAAGGAAAAGAUUGAGAUGAGAGCCAGCUAUGCUUGAGUGACGAGAUCUCGAGACCAUGAUUGUACAACAACAGACGGGACCAAAGGAGCUCCUGACUUCCACAGUAAGAGGAGAGGAGAUAACUGUCCUAGGGGAUAAUGCUGCUAAUGUUUGUUGAGAUUAUUCAUAUUUGUGUACUGUCUUUUUUAAAUUCCAGGUGGC